AAUUGUUAUCUUCAAAUUAAUAGCCCUAAAAGAUAGAAUAUCAACAUAUAAGCAGUUUACCUUUUCAGUUUUGCCAAAGUAGCCUCCUUUUCACUGAAUUUCUUAUAUUUUGUAAAUAUUUAAAUAGAUUGAGAGCUAUAUCAUUUUUAAAGAAGAUCUCCACGUGCCUUUGAAAAGGUUAGUGCUCUUUAUAUUAGAAAUAGUCACUUCUUUCCAAUGGGGAUAUCUCAUCUCUCUUGCUACAUAUAAAUUGUUAGCUGACUGCCCACGUUUAUAAUUAAUUUGGUGUGUUUUCAAAACAUUUGCUUCAUAGCAGAUUAGACUUUCCUGAUGGCUCUCCAUGGGAUAAAAUUUCACACACUAUUGUUUUUCUCAAAUGUAGUCAGCACACAUGUCCUAGAAGAGAUUAUCCUAAUUGUCUAUUCUGACCUAAUAUUUGUGGGCAGAAAUUUUUAGCAAAUGAUGGCUCUUGAUGACAUCAUCUGAACAUGCUCAGCUUAUUUUCUCAUCUUUGAGGGAUACUCUUUUCUUUUUUUUUUUUUUUGUAGCAGUGGAAAUUUAUG
rnacentral:lncRNA from 1 species